CCCCUUCUGCCGGGCCGUCCCAAGUUUGCACCGGUCGCUGGGGUUGGAUAUGCAACAAAAGGGAGGAUCUGCAGCACGAGAGACUGAGGGUGGCUACUAGAACAUUCAAACUUAAACACGCGGCCUGCGUCGUAUUUUUCACGGGCAGCUCUGGUCCAUGGAAUUUGCCCUCAGCACAUUCUCCAUCUGGGGCCACUGAACCUCGGGAUUUCUUAUGAUCUGCUAGAAUAAUCCAUGCCAGAAGCACCUUCAAGUGGAGUGACGGACACUCGUGUCAGAACGUGGCCUCUAAAGGAUGUUCUGAAAUCCUUGCUGCCAUCAGGCCCAGAUUGAGAGGAUUUUCUGGCCACUCUGUAUAUAGAGUUUAUUUUUUAUUCAUAAAUUACCUAAGUGUG